rnacentral:rRNA from 1 species
GCGGGUUUACGACCUCGAUGUUGGAUCAGGGUAUCCCAGUGGUGCAGCCGCUACUAAAGGUUCGUUUGUUCAACGAUUAAAACCCUACGUGAUCUGAGUUCAGACCGGAGUAAUCCAGGUCAGUUUCUAUCUAUAAGGAGCUUUUUCUAGUACGAAAGGACCGAAAAAACAUGGCCUAUGCAUAAUACAAGCCAUAUUUAAUAAUUUAUGAUUAAAACUCAAUAAAUACUUAACCUAUUACUUAACUCUAAGCAAGAGUAGUU